rnacentral:rRNA from 1 species
GAUGAACGAGGGAGGGGGGAGGAACACAUGCAAGUCGAACGGAAAGGCUCCUGCUUGCAGGGGUACUCGAGUGGCGAACGGGUGAGUAACACGUGGGUGAUCUGCCCUGCACUUCGGGAUAAGCCUGGGAAACUGGGUCUAAUACCGGAUAGGACGAUGGUUUGGAUGCCAUUGUGGAAAGUUUUUCGGUGUGGGAUGAGCUCGCGGCCUAUCAGCUUGUUGGUGGGGUAAUGGCCUACCAAGGCGUCGACGGGUAGCCGGCCUGAGAGGGUGUACGGCCACAUUGGGACUGAGAUACGGCCCAGACUCCUACGGGAGGCAGCAGUGGGGAAUAUUGCACAAUGGGCGCAAGCCUGAUGCAGCGACGCCGCGUGGGGGAUGACGGCCUUCGGGUUGUAAACUCCUUUCGCUAGGGACGAAGCGCAAGUGACGGUACCUGGAGAAGAAGCACCGGCUAACUACGUG